GACGAACGCUGGCGGCGUGCUUAACACAUGCAAGUCGAACGGAAAGGCCCUGCUUUUGUGGGGUGCUCGAGUGGCGAACGGGUGAGUAACACGUGAGUAACCUGCCCUUGACUUUGGGAUAACUUCAGGAAACUGGGGCUAAUACCGGAUAGGAGCUCCUGCUGCAUGGUGGGGGUUGGAAAGGUUCGGCGGUUGGGGAUGGACUCGCGGCUUAUCAGCUUGUUGGUGGGGUAGUGACUUACCAAGGCUUUGACGGGUAGGUGGCCUGAGAGGGUGACCGGCCACAUUGGGACUGAGAUACGGCACAGACUCCUACGGGAGGCAGCAGUGGGGAAUAUUGCACAAUGGGCGGAAGCCUGAUGCAGCAACGCCGCGUGCGGGAUGACGGCCUUCGGGUUGUAAACCGCUUUCGCCUGUGACGAAGCGUGAGUGACGGUAAUGGGUAAAGAAGCACCGGCUAACUACGUGCCAGCAGCCGCGGUAA
rnacentral:rRNA from 1 species